GGCCAGAUAGCUUAAUUAAGAGCAUUGUAUAUCGCAAGGUAUUUCAAAGGUGCCGGUUCAACUCCGGUUCGUGGUCC
rnacentral:tRNA from 1 species